ensembl:lncRNA
UCUCUGGGAACCCUGGCACCGUCUCACUCCUGGAACUCCGAGAGGGGCCAGGCCCAGCACAGGGGCCCAACAGGCCGGCCACUUGGACGAGUUGUGAGUUUCUGCAAAGCACCAAUGCCAGCAAAAGGAGAAAUUCGGUUCAGAUUUGAGCUGAUGUCCGUUUUCUUCCCAAGCUCAUAGCACUUUGGGUCCAUUAGGGAGCCUACCCCACGCCAGUGACUGAAUCAUCCUGUACCUUAGUUUCCUGGCCUGUGAAAUGGGAACGAUCUUUGUUCUGAGCUCACCAGUCUGUGAUAAGAUUUGUGGCCUGAUGAGAGGAGCCUGGCGGGCUACAGUCCACAGAAUCGCAGAAGAGUCAGAGCAGAAGACAAGCGGCUUGGCGCGCACGCAUGCUCACGGGCCACACAACACGGCACCCUUCAAGUUCAAGAGAACAGCCCCUUCUGAGGUGCCCGUGACCCCUCCCUCAGCUACCCUCCCUGGG